ACUGGCCCCGCUCCGGGUGCCUUUAUACAGGUGAGCGACCUCAGGGCCAUCAUGGCCCUCUUGUUUUAAUUUUCGGCCUUCUUGGGUUAAAAGGUUUUAUGAUAAACUGUACAUAAUAUUAUCCUUUAACCUGCUUGGAACCGGAAGUGAUAAAACUUCACCACCAGUAUAAAGUGAGGUCAGACUUUCAGUGCCUGAACGGGCGGAUGGACCCUUGUUUAAUUUAGAACAAACAUGGCCGGGUCAAAAGUGUGACCAGGUUCUAUACUGAAGACUGGGUUGAAGUUUAAACUUUCAUCUUUAUAUCCCCACUUUUUUUUCCUCACUCCUAGCAUUUUACUCUUAGUUUUCCUUCAAAAAAUAAAAUGACGGCCACAAGCAAACAGGUUUAUUGGGGUCUUAACUAUUUAUGUUCUCAUAGCACAGGCUCUUAUUAUUUUUAUCCGGCUUUUAUUAUAUUAACCAGGGUAACUAGUAAAGGAAUAUGUUUCUUUUUUAUUAAAUUGUGUUUGUUAAAUAAUGGACUAUUUUAAUGGAACUGUAUGUUAAAUAAUGGAAUGUGUUAAUGGAAAUACUUGUAAAUAUAAUGGAAUGUGUUAAUGGAAUAGUAUGCCAAUUAAUGGUAUGUGUUAAUGGAAAUACUUGUAAAAAAAAUAAUGGAAUGUGUUAAUGGAAAUACUUGUAAAAAUAAUGGAAUGUGUUAAUUGAAAUACCUGUAAUCCAAUUAAUGGAAUGUGUUAAUGGAAAUACUUGUAAAAAUAAUGGAAUGGUAUGCCAAGUAAUGGAAUGUGUUAAUGGAAAUACUUGUA